rnacentral:rRNA from 1 species
UGGGGAAUUGUUCACAAUGGGCGCAAGCCUGACCCAGCAACGCCGCGUGAAGGAUGAAGUAUUUCGGUAUGUAAACUUCGAAAGAAUAGGAAGAAUAAAUGACGGUACUAUUUAUAAGGUCCGGCUAACUACGUGCCAGCAGCCGCGGUAAUACAGAGGUGGCAAGCGUUGUUCGGAAUUACUGGGCGUAAAGGGCGCGUAGGCGGCCUACUAAGUCAGACGUGAAACUCCCCCGGCUUAACCUGGGAACUGCGUCUGAUACUGGAAGGCUUGAGUAUGGGAGAGGGAUGUAGAAUUCCAGGUGUAGCGGUGAAAUGCGUAGAUAUCUGG